AUUCCUAGCUCUCAUAAUAGUUUCGGCUGUUGAAGAACCAACAUCUUUUGGAAAAACCACAAACUUAUUUUUGACAACCUACUUCCGUGAACAGGCUAUACACAAAGAUGUGUAAUCCUUGCUUGCGUUCAAUGCCUGGCACCUGUUGCGGACCGACAGGUGGAUUGGGGCCAUGCGGGUUCUGCGGUCCCUACAACGGGCAGUGGUUCAGGGCGGUCAACCACUGUUGCGGUCCGAUUGGACCAUACGGAUGUUGCUCCUGCUAUGGACCCUUCGCUGGCCACUGUUAGCCUGAUUAGAAGGGAAGUAGGUUUCAAAAACCGGUCGGGUCGGAGGUCGUCUAUUAGUACCAUGCUGAGUUACAUCUAGUAGUAUCAUGCUGAGGCUUGCACUCAGCGACCCGGGAUUCCCAAGUCGGUAACGGAUUAAGUAUUGCAAAAACAAAAUGUUUGUCUUAAUAAAUUGUCAGUUAUAAAGGGAAAUUCGCUUUUGCGAUUUCUUCAGCAAACUUUGAUGUUGCAUUUUGUAAAACAAAAAUAAAAGAAUGAGGAAUGCUGGACCGGCCUUAGAGUCAA